rnacentral:rRNA from 1 species
AGCGAACGCUGGCGGCAGGCUUAACACAUGCAAGUCGAACGCCCGUAGCAAUACGGGAGUGGCGGACGGGUGAGUAACGCGUGGGAACGUGCCCUGAGGUACGGAAUAACUGCGGGAAACUGCAGCUAAUACCGUAUGAGCCCCUUACGGGGGAAAGAUUUAUCGCCUUAGGAGCGGCCCGCGUCGGAUUAGCUAGUUGGUGGGGUAACGGCUUACCAAGGCUUCGAUCCGUAGCUGGUCUGAGAGGACGAUCAGCCACACUGGGACUGAGACACGGCCCAGACUCCUACGGGAGGCAGCAGUGGGGAAUCUUGCGCAAUGGGGGCAACCCUGACGCAGCCAUGCCGCGUGAAUGAUGAAGGCCUUAGGGUUGUAAAGUUCUUUUGCCCGUGACGAUGAUGACGGUAACGGGAGAAUAAGCUCCGGCUAACUUCGUGCCAGCAGCCGCCGUAAAAC